GGGGCCUACGGGAGGCAGCAGUGGGGAAUAUUGCACAAUGGGCGCAAGCCUGAUGCAGCAACGCCGCGUGAGGGACGAAGGCCUUCGGGUUGUAAACCUCUUUUAGCAGGGAAGAAGCGAAAGUGACGGUACCUGCAGAAAAAGCACCGGCUAACUACGUGCCAGCAGCCGCGGUAAUACGUAGGGUGCAAGCGUUGUCCGGAAUUAUUGGGCGUAAAGAGCUCGUAGGCGGUUUGUCGCGUCUGCUGUGAAAUUUCGAGGCUCAACCUCGAACUUGCAGUGGGUACGGGCAGGCUAGAGUGCAGUAGGGGAGAUGGGAAUUCCUGGUGUAGCGGUGGAAUGCGCAGAUAUCAGGAGGAACACCAAUGGCGAAGGCACAUCUCUGGGCCGUAACUGACGCUGAGGAGCGAAAGCGUGGGGAGCAAACAGGAUUAGAUACCCUGGUAGUCCACGCCGUAAACGGUGGGUGCUAGCUGUGGGCCACAUUCCACGUGGUCCGUGACGAAGUUAACACAUUAAGCACCCCGCCUGGGGAGUACGGCCGCAAGGCUAAAACUCAAAGGAAUUGACGGGG
rnacentral:rRNA from 2 species